rnacentral:lncRNA from 1 species
AAAUGACCUUAUGUAGGUUUGUAGUGUUUCAACCUUGAAAACUAGCAGUUUAAACACUAUAAACCUUGUUCAAAUCAUGGUACCAUAUUCAAAUGACUUUACAUCAAAUUUAGAGCCUUUGCUAAAAGUGAUAUAUUAUUGGGAGAAAAUUCCACGUCGAAUCUAAUGUAAUUUUGUUCACAUUCAGGCAACUGGUUCUUCUCGUGCUGUCUCAGAAUCUGCCAACAAUGCCAAUGAUUUUGGGCACACCAAUGAAGACCUUCAUGCUACAGAUGUUGCCAACAAUCAAGGUUCCGACAACAAUGGAGAUCAUGCAUCGAUUUGAUGGUGUUGUUUAGUUGCAAAACAUGGAUGUGAUGGUGGUUUCUUCUUUUGUAGUGUUGUGCUUUUGCACAUUAACUAGUAGGAGGCUCUAUUCUUUAGCUGUGGUAAUGCUUUUGAAUGUAACUAGUAGCGCUCUAAUCUUUAGCUGUGGUCUUACUUAUAUGACUCAAUGAUGCGCUGGUAGUUUAGUCAUCUUAGUUGAAACUUGAACCGCUGAGAUGAGGUGGUAAUGCUUUUGAAUGUAUCGACGUCGGAACAUUUGGACAUCGUCUAUGGAAUAUGUUGAAUAUUUGGAGACCAUAUUGUGAUGUAUCCUAUAUGUAUUGAUGUCGGAACAUUUGUGAUGUGUCAUCAAAUUAUAGUGUGGAAAAUAUAUAUUUUAAUAUAUAUGCUAUUGCUACAGUUUCAAAAUAGAAUAUUUUUUUCUGUGUGCGUCACUUUUCCUGUGAGGGUGCCUGCAUUUGGGCAAAAGAUAUUUUUCUGUGAGUUCACUAGACCGACAGAAAAAUACAUGUUUUCCCUGUGCAAUUGGCUUCUUUUUCCUGUGCGUGUAAUAUUAUUUUUCUGUGUGGAUAUGCGCACAGAAGAUUAAAUUUUAAUCUGGGCGAGCAUAAUUUUUCUGUAGGUCACGUACCGACAGAAAAACUAUUUCUAACGGCGAACUCAUAGAAAAAUGAGAUUUUUCCGUCAUUAUAUUUCUGUGUGUUAUUUUCUGACGGUACACCGUCAGAAAAAUAUUUUUCUGUGCGUAUUCGCUUUUUUCCAUGAAUUUUCACACACACAGGAGUAUUCAAGUUUCCAGCAGUAGUGGAUGACCCCUAGCCACUUCCAGUAGUGGAUGGCCCCUAGCCACACAAAUGGCUCGGCUGCCAGCAUAUAGCCGUCGUAAAAUAUAUAGUUUUUACACAAAAUCAUGUACAGAGGUUGCAUUACUGGUUAUGUGUUAUAUGGAAAACGUUCACAGCCGGUUGUAAUAGUAGUCACCCAAGACACAUCACAACCAAUUUAAUUGUAGCUGUUAAUUUUUUUUUAAAAAAAAAUUGUAGCGUUACGUUGACAAACAUCCAAACCAAAUUUGCGCAUGCUAAUUAAUUUCUUUAUUAUAUGGACACACGCGGCCCUUGCCUACGAAGGUUCAAAAAAAUGACUCAAAUGCAUGGUGCUGUAUAUAGACUUAACUUUGCAGUUGCAGCUCUAUGACUACGACAUGGCAAACAAUGCAUGCAAGCUAGCUUGCUAGCUGCGUUUGUCUUGCUUUGCAUGCAUGUCCAAAAAUGAGUAUCACCUUCUCGGCCAGUCUCAGAGCUAGUGGUCCAGAUGUCAACGUAACAACAUCACUACUUGUACUGAACCCGUGUUGUGUUGUAUAUAAGCCGGCCGAGCCGAGAUGCCCACACACGCGGAUCUCGUGGACUGGAGAGCUGGAGGUGUCAUCACAUGCAUGUGUGGUGUCUGCAGUGACAAGUAGCUGGUGGCUGUGGUGGGAAGUAUACGUUGUUGUCCAGCUUGGCAGGAAGCCGCGCGGGAACUAACGUCGUCGAAUGGACCCUUCUCCCGCAUUUUGAGUGGUUGUAGUAGAGUCAUAUAUAGAGCUGCCGAGACUCACAUCUCUAUCCAUAUAUACACAUACAUGUUUUGUGCGUGUUGGUACGGUCCCAGACUAAAUUUUAGUCACAUAUAUUUGGACACUAAUUUAGAGUAUUAUAAACAUAGAUUAUUUAUAAAACUAAUUGUACAGAUAGAGACUAAUUUGUAAAAUAAAUCUAUUAAAUAUUUUUUUGUGAAUUAUCUAUUAAACCUAAUUAGUCCAUGGUUUUACAAUGUGAUGCCGCUACAUUAAACAUGUGCUACUGAUGGAUUAAUUAAUUAGGCUUAAUAGUUUUUUUUUUUCAUAAAUUAGUCUCCAUCUGUGCAGUUAAUUUUGUAAUUAACUCAUGUUUAGUCCUCCUAAUUAACAACCGAAUGUGUAAUAGGGAUUAAACUUUAGUCAUCACUGGAUCCAAACACCCUAAAACAUUCAAAUAACAUAGGUUCCACAGCUGCUCGCGGCAUUACAAGAAUAAUUAAGGACCAUGUUUCUGUAGUACCUGUGGCCUGGGCGACGAUCGCCGGCGACAUGAGAGACAGGGAGGCACACGGAGUAGGCCGAGCCGAGCAGAUGAAUCUCUGCUUCGGGGUACUGUAUUCAGUAAUAAAAUUGUCUAUCGCUGAUUACAACAAAGGUUCAGUCGUAUUAAAGGGUUCACGGAGGGUGGCCAUGCAGGGCCCACAUGUCAUCGACUGAGCACUACAUGUAAUAUAUGUUGGCCACUCAAUAUAUAUAUACAAUACACGAGAAUAACUUGUUUUCCUACAUAAUACAUUUUGUGGGCUGCAGGCACUUGAUUUUUUGUCCACCGUACUGGAUCUGGAUCUGGAUCUGGAUCUUGUUCUAUAGCACAUCACUGUCCACAUUCACAAAAGACAGCGAAAAUUACAGCGAACCCCCCUCAGGGCUCUGAUUUUUAUUAAUACUAACGGUUACCAACCGGUAGUGAUCAUGAUUCAGAUUGAACGCCUAGGUCAGUCUCAAUGCAUGUUUUAUGAGAGUGUAAUGCACAUUAAAUAGUGUGCCACAUAAGCAAAAUUGUUGACUUGGCAGAGUCAUUAAAUGAAGGAGUUUCAUCAGAUGAGAGAGGAGUUUCGUCCCCAUGAAACUCAUAUGACACGGUUACUUAGUUUAUAGUCUUGGUAACAGUGUCAUGAAAUUAUGCAUUGAGACUGGUUAGAGUGGUUUGCAUCAAAGCACACGAUGUUUUCCCACGUCAGGGAAUAGUUUUACCCAAGAUUAUGUUUUCUUUGAUUCUCCUCUUAAUAAAAACGUUGCAUGGCACAGUGCGUGAAAGCUUUCAAAGUUUAUGUAGUCGUAUUUAAAAAUGAUUUGUACAUAUAAAAGUUCUUCAUAUAUAUUGGUACAGAGAUAUGUAUAUAUAUAAUACAAAUGGGAUUUAAUCCAUUUGUACCGUUGCUGCCUGCUGCUUAGGUCCCAUCACUACCGGGUGUUUUGUCGAGAGCCUGUGCACUCAGUAAAGGCCUAAAUAUAUUCGGAAAAACUUUUGCUGAGUGUCACACUAGGCAAGGACCACUUUACCGAUGAAAAUUUUUUCAUGUGGUCUUUGCCAACUGCUAUUUUUUAGGCACUAGGCAAAGCUUUUACCCGACACUUGGCAAAAACUGAAACAAAAAAAAAACUAAAAAACAGGGAGGUCUACGGGACUCUAGUGUUUUGUCGAGAGCCUGUGGCACUCAGCAAAGACCUAAAUAUACUCGGCAAAGCUUUUGCCGAGUGUCACACUAGACAAAGACCACUUUGCCGAUGAAAUUUUUUUCAUGUGGUCUUUGCCAACCGCUAUUUUUUGGGCAUUAGGCAAAGCUUUUACCCAACACUUAGCAAAAACUGAAACAAAAAAAACUUAAAAAUAGGGAGGCCUAGUGGGAUAGGGACCCAUGACCUCCCUCUUGCACAUCUCUCUCUAACCACUACAUCAACCUAUUACUUGUGUUUAUAUUGCAUUUCGGUUCAUUAUAUAUUAUAUAGCAAACCAAGUGUAAAUUGGUUGUUUGAUGCCCUAAAUGAUUUUAAAUCAAAAGAUAUCAACUACGAAGUUUUAUAACUUUUUGAGAUCUAUAAUUUUUAUUGAGGGACUUUCUCUAUCCGAGGUCGUUUACAAAAUUUGAAAUUUGAGAAAUUCAAACGUAGUUUUUAUAUGACAAGAUGAUUUCAAAUUAAAAGUUGUCAACUAUAAAGUUUUAUAACUUUUUAAGAUCUACAAAGUUUAUUCAUGGAGUUUUUCCAUCUGAGGUAGUUUGCAAAAUUCAAAAUUUAAAAUUUUCACAUAAAGACGUAGUUUUGCAUGACAAGAUGACUCAAAUGAAAAAUUUGUCAACUGAAAAAUUUCAUAACUUCUCAAAAUCUACAAAGUUUAUUUUGGUUGUUUGGUCAUUUGUUCAUCCGACAUGGUGAUUCCAAUAUUUUUUAUAAACAUUAUGUAUCUCUCUCUUAUAGUUUCAUAAACUAUAAGAGAGAUGUAGAAUUUAUGAAUAAAUUUAUUUUCACUUUGUUAAAUGAAAAAGUAAUAUAGAGGGAUCUUGAGAAGUUAUACAACUUUGUAGUUGAAAACUUUUUAAAUCGAAUUCGUUUAAGGCUUUAAAAUUUGAUUUGACAUUUUUUUUGCCAAGUAUUUUUUUGACACUAGUCAUUUGCCGAGUGUCAAAAAAAACACUCAGUAAAAAGACUUCUUUGACACUCGGUAAAAAAAUCUCUUAAAGGAGUGUUUUUUUUUUGCCAACUUUUUUUUUACCGAGUGUUACACUAGCUCAGUAUAAAAAAUUCUUUGUCAAGUGUCGAAAAAACACUUGGCAAAUUAUUUGACACUCGCUAAAGAGCUCAGGUUCCGGUAGUGCAUCAUAUAGCUCGUUGCUCGCCACUAUAUAACUCCACGUGAGCAAGCCAAGAAGAGACCACAAACAAACCGCUAAGCAAGCACGAGAGAGAAAACAAUCACAAUGACCUCACACGUCAACAGGUCGCUGCCUUUUCUCAUCGCCCCGUCGGAGGCCACGCCCGCCGGCGCCCUCCCCCUCACCGCCAUGGACAGAGCUCUUGCUUCCCUUCCUAUGACAGCGCUGUUCGUCUUCGAGAACCCCAUCGAUCAGCCAGCCGAAACCAUAGCGAGAGCUCUGUCCCGUGCGCUUGUUCCCUACUACCCAAUGGCCGGCCGCCUCACCAUCACCGGCGACCAGCUGAAAAUCGCGUGCACCGGCGAGGGCGUCGCGUUCGCUGGCGCGUCCGCGAGCUGCACCCUGCAGGAGGCCGGGCUCUCCGGCCCGCGUCCGGUGAUCACCGUCGAGGACCUCACUAUGAACUACGCCGGCCAGUACAGCACGGAGGAACCGCCGUUGUUGCUGGUGCAGGUGACCGAGUUCUCCUGCGGUGGCUUCGCCGUCGGGGUGACGUGGAACCACGUCGUCACCGACGGCGCCGGGAUGGCGCAGUUCUUGCAGGCCGUCGGCGAGUUUGCCCGCGGGUUCCCUUCUUCCCCUUCUGUCUGGCCGGUGAGGGUGGACCACGCCCUCCCUGAGCUUCCCCCGCCGAUAACAAACAUGACCAAGGCACUCGUCGGCGGCCAGCACAGCGACUUCCCAUCCUCCUACAUCACUGUUCCGCUCAGCUUCAUCGACCACGUCAAGGAUGAGUUCCGUCGCCGUCGCAGCAGCGGCGAGGUGGCGCCGGCGUCGUGCACCGCGUUCGAUGUCUUCACGGCCGCCAUAUGGAAGUGUCGUGCACGCGCGACGAUCGCCAGCGCCGCCUGCCAGGACGCUCCCACGGUGCUCACCUUCACCGUGAACGUGAGGAAGCCGGCGAAGGCCAAGGACGGCUACUACGGCAACGUCUUCGCCUUCGGCCUUGCUGCCUCGACGCUGCGUGAGGUCGCCGACGGCGACAUCCUUGACCUCGUGAGGCUGGUAAAGGAUGCCAAGGCACGGGUCCCGUACACGUUUGCUGACGGAGCGGCGUACAUCGCCGACGAGAUGGGCGGCCGGCUCAAGGGCCUCGACGGUUAUGACACCUUGUAUGUGACCAGCUGGUGGAAUCUCGGCUUGGACGACGUCGACUUCGGCAGCGGCGGCGCUGAACGUGUCAUUGGGAACAUGGAGCGCAAGGUGGUGCCAGGCUGCAUCCUGUGUGGGAGGAAGGACAAGGCCGACGGUGUCGCCGCCAUGGCGCUCUGUGUCAAGCAGGAGCACGUGGAGACCUUCCAUGCGGAGCUGCAAAGCCUCAAGUGAUGUGGAUAAUAUGAAUAUUGUCUUUUUAGUUUGUUAGUGCACACAAAAACAUAGACUCUUUGCCCAUGGAAUUGCUGUAACACCCGGCCCAAUGCUUAAUAGGAUUAAUAGGAGACUCAUACCAACAAGUUGCAACUUCUUUUCCGGAAGCCUAUCUCGAAAGAACUCUAAAGUUAAGCGUGCUUGGCUUAGAGCAAUUUAGAGAUGGGUGACCGACCGGGAAGUACUUCUCGGGUGCGCGCGAGUAAGGACAAGCGGACCCGGCCACGUGAAGGCGGGACGUUACAAUUGCACAUAGAAAUCAGUUUAUUUUCCUUUCGUAUAACAAACACAACAAUCAAAACUGGAGUACUUGUUUUUUAUUUAUGAGUGAGCCGUUCAAAUAAAACAUCAAUAAUCAGAACUUAAGUUUUGAUUGUUGUUUCUUAAAUUCUAGUUGGAGUUUCUUAAGUUUCGAUUGAAAUUGAACUUUUUUAUUGAAUUGAGAAAUAAAUCUAUUUUUUCAUGUCUAGAACCAAUAAUUAUUCAAAUUGUCUAGUCUUGAGAUUGCUUUGCGGAUCAGGAUGUGGGGAGUAAGCAGCAAGCUCAUCUUGAACUCAAUAACACAUAUGCAACGAUUGUAGUCUGAGUGUCUGACAUUGAAUGGACCACGAAGCAAAAGAUUGUGAUGAUGUCAAUCAAUGUGCCUCAAGAAAGAUUAAAUUUGUUGGUAAAUAUCUUUGGCUAUCACUAUGUCAAAAAAACACUUCAUAUACACGCACUUAGGCACAUUGCAGACGCACUAGCAUGCGCCGGGAAUAAUUAAUGCGUAAAUAAUAAGGCUUAUUAUAGACGCACAAAACAAGCGUCUGUACUAAGAAUACAUCUACAGACGCGCGUACCAAUAUGCAACUGUGAUUAAAUCUAUGUGAACGACAACAUUUAAACACGUCCAUCUAUGACCUUCUAAUAGAUUUCAUUAAAGAAGGAGCAGAGACUCAUGAUUGCCAUUUGGGGUUUUUCUGGCAAAAUGUUCCGGAUUCCAACUACAAGCAUCGCUAUGAGCAUGACAUCGCAAUCAUGAGCCUUCAUGGAAAGUAUCUUGUUUCUUUUGUAGGCACAAGCUUUUAUAUGUUGGCUGAGUAUCUAGAGGGAAGUUUGACACUAUGGAAGAAGUCAACUAAUUCCUCCUUCUCCUGUCGGGUCAGGUUUAUGGUAGAUAGAGGUGGAUGGAUACUAAUACUGUCAGCUACAAGCUCAGGCCUGAUAUCCAAUUCUGGUCCUUGUUUUCCAUUGGUCAUUCAUGAGUGUCCCAAGCAAACUCCCAUAAACAUUCAUUUUCACGUGCAUGAGAUUAAUGCUAUGGCCACUACUGGAAUUCUGUUCUUUGCCGACUGCCAAAAGCAGUCGGCAAAGGCCCUAAAACAGGUGGCAAAGGCUUUGCCGACGGCUUUACACGUGGCAGUCGGCAAAGAACACGUGGCAAAGAAUUCGUCGGCAAAGAAACCUUUGCCACCUGCCAAGAGAAAAGCAGUCGGCAAAGCCUUUGCCACCUGCCAAUAUAUGACAGUCGGCAAAGGGAACGAACGCCGUCGUGAGAUGACGGAGCUCUUUGACGACUGCCUUUUUUAGCAGGUGGCAAAGGGCUCUUUGCCGACUGUCUUUUUUGGCAGGUGACAAAGGGCUCUUUGCCGACUGUCUUUUUUGGCAGGUGGCAAAGGGCUCUUUGCCGACUGCCUUUUUUGGCAGGUGGCAAAGCUGGAAUAAGUAAAAUUUCAGCCUGUUUUUUUAUCACAAAUAUGAUUAUAUAACUAGAAUUCACAUAUAUCACACAGAUCCACAUAUAUAUCACACAAAUCCACAUAUAUAGCACACAUAAACCAUAAUAAAUGAGUUCAACAAGUCCAUCAUCCAACAAAUCAUACUAAGUGUGCAAAACCAACAUCAAACAUCCAACAUGGUGUGCAAAACCAACAUCAAACAUCCUGCAAAGUAGAAGAACCAUAUAGCUAGUCACGCGUCCUGCGAUGCGUCGCCACCGUGGUGUGAAGAGCUCCCAGCUGGCCACAGAGGCCACGAAGACGGUCCAAUCUGCGGCGCGCUGCUGUACACCCACCCGGAUCCGACCUGCUGGGCAGGCGGAGGGUCGCUACCCCACCCGGAGGCCCCCGCCUGCGUAAGCCUAGGAGGAACGCCACCUGGUUCCACCUGGCCUGGCGAAAGGCCAUGUGGAGUCGGGUUUGAACCUGCCGACGGUGGCUGCACAGAGAAGUGAUGUCAUUAGUACAUGUGGGAUAGCCGUACAAACGAAAACAAUAGAUAGACUGCUAGAAACUCACCGGAGUCCCUAAAGUGCUAGGAACAGGGGGUGGAGCAAGAACAGGGGGUGGAGCGAAGAAAGAAGCUGGCAACGGAGGACAUCUGAAACCAGGGAUCUCCAGGCCCUGAAAGAAGCUGGCAAACUCUUUCAUCUGACGCGCCGAGUGCUCCUGCAUAGCCUCCAACUGCCGCCGGUAAGCCUCCAGCUGCUGCCGAUGAGCCUCCUCUUGGGCCGCCAGCUGCUGCCGAUGAGCCUCCUCUUGGGCCGCCUGUUGGGCCCGUAGCUCGGCCAGCUCGGACUGUAAUAUUACACUCGUGAUGUUUAAACAAUGCAUAAGGAAAGCUACAUAUGUAAAUCCAAUAAACGACAAAUAGUUACCUGAACCACCACCAUCAUCUGCGUAGAGCUUGGCCGCCGAGGCUGUAUGGGGACGUCCGAUGAGGUCGUGUUGUCUGAUCGACGAACCUCACGAAGGGUAGGAAUGGUGGCCGGGUCGAUUACGCUGUGGGCAAGAAAGUACCGCCCAUGCUGCUUCCCUCCUCCCGUCGUCAUCAGGACGUCCGUGUCAAGGGGCUCGGUGGCCGGAUCAUAGGCCUCACCAUGGCGCUUGCGAACUGCCUCGGUGUACUGGACGACCUUCUCGUAGGCGUUCAGGUUGGUGAACGCGUCGGCCCCCUUCGCCGGGUCGCAGACGUUCUCCGGAUCUGUCGCUUUGCCCUGGUGAGAUAGGACAUAGCCCGUGAACUCGUUGAUCACCUGGCCACCAUGCGACUGGGUCUACGAGGAAAACACAAGAACGAUUACACGUAAUGAGAAUGAAUAAAUAAAUAAAUAAAUAAAUAAAUAAAUAAAUAAAGUAGUGUCAAGAGUACCCAUGUUAGCAUACCAACGACCAUAUAUCCCUUUUGGACGGGAGACGCCUAACUUGGCUGCGUAAUCUAUAACUACUAUAAGGAUGAGAGGUGAAUUAUACCUAGGAUAGCGACACAAAGGCGAGUAGCAGGGCGAUGGAGAGUCGACGCGGUGUAGGAAGACCCACAGCACCCACGAACACGAUCGGAGUCACCAAGUACUUCCCACAGGUGAUCCUAAAAAAGGACAAAAAAAAGUUAGUAUCCACUCAAAAUUUCGGCAGCACCUCCUCUAAACGGGGAGGUUCCAAAACCUGCAAAAAACAAUGGCGCGAAGGCCGAUAACCACAACGGCACGAAGGCCAAUAACCAUAGUGGCACGAAGUCCGACAUCACAAUGGCACGAAGGCCAACAAUUAGCAGGAUUAAUUAGCACACCUGCUCAAAUGCAACAUAGAUAGAUAAACUUUUUUCAUGAGCUUGUCAUACUUUAUUAUUAUUAUUAUUAUUAUUAUUAUUAUUAUUAUUAUUAUUAUUAUUAUUAUUAUUAUUAUUAUUAUUAUUAUUAUUAUUAUUAUUAUUAUUAUUAUUAUUAUUAUUAUUAUUAUUAUUAUUAUUAUUAUUAUUAUUAUUAUUAUUAUUAUUAUUAUUAUUAUUAUUAUUAUUAUUAUUAUUAUUAUUAUUAUUAUUAUUAUUAUUAUUAUUAUUAUUAUUAUUAUUAUUAUUAUUAUUAUUAUUAUUAUUAUUAUUAUUAUUAUUAUUAUUAUUAUUAUUAUUAUUAUUAUUAUUAUUAUUAUUAUUAUUAUUAUUAUUAUUAUUAUUAUUAUUAUUAUUAUUAAUAUUACAGUAUAAACAGCUGCUAAUUCAAACUUUAUUGGUUUCAGUUUUCAAUAAGAAUUUUUAUUUCCAACAACUGAAACUAACUACGUCGACACUUCAUUAAGGUUCGCACUUAUAAAUUCCAGACAAACAGGAAAGAGAUGACAGGCUUUCUGUGAGAAAAUAGUGAAAUUAUGUGGACAUCAUUCUACAAGGUUUGUAGGCAGUACCGAUAUCGAUACAUAACAAGUAGCAGUCCACACAUGAAAUCCAGCAUCCAAAGUUCACUAGCAUAUGCAGGGGAAUAUUAAGCUAGCUACGAGGAGAUAGGACACACUAAAGAUGAAAUUAGACUCACAUUACAGUAAUAUACAUGAAAAUUGAACUACUCCUACCAAGUACCAACCAGGGGAAUUAAACUCCAAUAAGCAUCAUCUGAUCAUCAGCAACACACGAGAAAAUGACAAGCGGAGCCAAAAAUAAUAAGAUCAAAAUAACAAGCCACAUUUAUCUAAGUUCACAUUCCAUUACCAUCUGCAUUCAUCAUGAGCAAGCAGAAAUUGAUCAGAAACAAUAAGAUGAAAAUAACAAGCCACAUUUAUCUAAGUUCACAUUCCAUUACCAUCUGCAUUUAUCAUGAGCAAGCAGAAAUUAAGUUCCAGAUCGAACUAUCCAAGAUUAAUUCCAUCACCAUUCAUCCGAAACCACCAUAGUAACGAAAGUAUGACCAUACGGGGACUACUGCUAGACCAACCAUCACGACCUCCUCCUUCCAAAUCCACCGAUCAAGUACUGCCGAUGAUGCUACUACUAAGACGCAACAGAACUACGACGACCAAUGCAAGUGGCACUACUACUACUGAUGAUGAUGACACAGUCUUUUUUGUUAUAAAAAAUUAAGAUGUCAAGAAGAGAGGCGGGUCACGGGCGUGCUGUGCCUCCGACGAAUCUCCAUGGACGGAGCCACGGCUUCCCCACCCGCGUCCCAAACCAAUCCCAAAUCGAGAAGGGCGAGUUCGAAUUCAACCUGGGUCGGCUGUCGUCGGAGCGGCGAUUGCGCUAUGCAAGCCGCCUAGGAGCGUCGGAGUGGCAGCGCCGCGCCGCGCCGAGGCCUCUGACGACGUCGGCGAAGGAGAUCCGUCCGCCAGCACGUCCGGAGCGGCCGGGGCAGGGGCGUCCGCACACGUCCGGAGCGGCCGGGGCAGGGGCCGGAGCAGCCGGGGCCGAGGCGCCGGGGCCGGAGCGGCCGGGGCCGGCGCGGCCGGGGCGGCCUGGGCGCAGGGCGCAGGGGGUGUAGGGGCAGGCUGGCGCGGCCGGGGCGCAGGGCGCGGGGCGCUGACUGCCGGAGUGCGGCGGCGGCGGCGCUGCGUGCGGGUGGGAGGCGUGCGGGUGCGUGAGGGGUAGGAGCUGCUGCUGCGUGCGGGUGCCUGCGGGUGGGAGUUGCAUUUUUUUUUCAAGAUAAGGCUGGGGCUCUUAGGGUUAAGUUCUUUGCCGACUGCUAUUAGGACAAGCAGUCGGCAAAGGAGCAGUAUAUUUUAUUUAUAAAUAUUAUUUGCCGACUGUCUACACCUAGGGCAGUCGGCAAAUAUUUUUUUUCAAAGUUCUUUGCCGACUGCUAUUAGGGCAGGCAGUCGGCAAAGGCGCAGUAUAUUUUAUUUAUAAUUAUUCUUUGCCGACUGUCUGGAUCUAGGGUAGUCGGUAAAGAAUUUUUUUUUGUCUAAUUUAUUUUGUAGCCUCAACUUGCUCAAAAAUUUUUGAAAUUUUUAUCAUAGCCUCCAGAUGUAAUAAAAUGACACUUCAAAAAGUUUCGUAGUUUUUUUACCUUUUUGGCUAUAUUUUGUUAAUUUAUUUCGUUUAAUUGAAUUGUCCACCGUAUGAUCCAACUUUGAACUACAGGUCCAUAAAAUAAUGAAACAUAGGCAUUAGAAAAAUGAUAUUCAUAUUAGAGAAUGUAUUUUGAGGUCGUGCCUAGAAACUCAUCCAAAAUUUUGAAGUCCUUGUCCACGGAACAUGAUGAUCCAAGUGUGGUAGAAGUGACUUUUAAUUAUAUAAAACUCAAACGAAAUCGAAAAAUUACGAUACUUGUUGAGGUGUCAUGUUAUCACAUGAGGAGCCUAUGAUAAAUAUUUGAAAAAAUUUGGAGCAAGUUGUGAUGUCAGAUGUACAAAUCCCAAACACUUGCGCAUGUCAUCACAUGUUAUCAUAUUGGAAAUGUUUAGUUUUUGUUCAUCUGAUACUGCAACUUGCUCCAAACUUUCUCAAAUUUUUUCUAUAGGGUCCACAUGUGAUAACCUUAAACCUCAAAAAGUUUUGUGAUUUUUUGACUUUUUUGCUAUAUUUCAUUAAUUAAUUUCUUUAAAUUGAUUUUUCCGCUACAUAAUCCUACUAUGAACUAUAGGUGCAUGAAAUAGUAAAACUUAGCCAUUCGAAAAAUGAUAUUCAUGUUGAAUAAUGUAUUUUUAGACCAUAUCCAAAAACUAAUCCAAAAUUUUGAAGUCCUUGUCCACGGAACAUGAUCAUCCAAGUGUGGUAGAAGUGAUUUUUAAUUAUAUAAAUUUCAAACAAAAUAAGAAAAAAUACGAAACUUGUUGAGGUGUCAUGUUAUCAUAUGAGGAGCCUAUGAUAAAAUUUUGAAAAAAAUUGGAGGAAGUUAUGAUGUUAGAUGUACAAAACUCAAACACUUCAUAUUGGAAAUGUCUGAGUUUUGUUCAUCUGAUACUGCAACUUCCUCCAAACUUUCUCAAAUUUUUUUUAUAGGUUCCACAUGUGAUAACAUGACACUUGGUCAAGUUUUGUAAUUUUCCGACUUUGUUUGAAUUUUAUAUAAUUAAAAAUCACCUCUAACACACAUGGAUGGUCAUGUCCCGUGGAUAAAGACAUCAAAAUUUUGGGUGAGUUUUAGGAAAUGACCUUAAAAUAGACUCUCCAACAUGAAUAUCAUUUUUCGAAUGGCUAAGUUUCAUUAUUUGAUGCACCUACAGUUCAAAGUAGGAUUCUGCGGGGGAAAAUACAAUUAAAAGAAAUUAAUUUACAAAAUAUAGCAAAAAGGGUCACAAAAUCAAGAAAGUUUAUAAGGUUCACUCUUAUUGCAUAUGGAGGCUAUGAAAAAAGUUGGAGGAAGUUUGGAGCAAGUGACGACAUCGAAUGUCUAGAACCUAAAUUCAAAUUUCAAAAAUAAAAAAUUUUAUCUUUGCCGACUGCCUAACGGCUUGGCAGGUGGCAAAGGGAACGGAGAUGGAUGCCGUUAGCUGCCAGCCACCUUUGCCACCAGCUUUUCUUUGCCACCUGCCAGGCAGCCACCUUUGCCACUAGCCUUUCUUUGCCACCUGCCAGGCAGUCGGCAAAGGAUGUCUUUGCCGACUACCUUUCUUUGCCACUGAAAGCCCUAGUUUGGUUUUUGGAUAAUUGAUGAAACCCUUAUGCUAACCUCUAUACUAAGUGUGUGUAGACUUAAUGAGGUUGGUACAUGCCAAGUGAUGGAGCAAGUGAUGAUCAUGGUGAUGAUGGUGAUGACCACAAGAUGAUCAAGUGCUCAACUUGGAAAAGAAGAAAGAGAAAAACAAAACCCUAUGGAGAUCAAGGCAAAGGUAUUGCUUAGGGUUUUUGGUUUUGGUGAUCAAGACACCAUAGAGGGUGUGAUCACAUUUAGGAUAGAUAGCCGUACUAUAAAGAGGGGAAUUCUUUGGCUAAGCGGUUAUCAAGUGCCACUAGGUGUCAUUGUUCAUGUGCAUGCAUUUAGAACCUAGUGAGCUUACUUAACUCCUUCAAAGAAAAUGAUUGUGAAAAUGCUAACACGAGUGCACGCUCGUUGGUACACACGUUGUGGUGUUGGCACACUUUGAGAAGGAGGUGGAGUUUCAAGGGUAGAGAGGGGAUGGGUUCCUCUCUCUCUCCCGCCGAGCUUGCGAGGCGGGAUUCGGCGCUUUUCGAGAAAAUGAAGUGCAUAUUUUCUAUUGCGCCGGUGGGAAAUUUGGAGAAGUCGCGGGAGUGUUUCUCGCUGAGAAAACACUCACCGGACGCUGGCCACUGAGGCACCAGACGCUAAGUCUGAGCGUCCGGUGCAGACAGUGCCUAGCCCAGCUAGGGUAAGGCACCGGACGAUAGGCACCGGACGCUGGCUUGAGCGUCCGGUGGUGUGCGUCCGGUGUGCGGACGUUUUGCGACCCUCUCUACGCAUGGGUCCGGUGAGCACCGGACGCUGAGGGUGCGUCCGGUGGCUUGCGUCCGGUGACCUUACGAGUUUGUGAAACUCUCUGCGCAUGAGUCCGGUGUGCAUUGGACGCGUCCGGUGCUAACUUGCUCAGCGUCCGGUGCACUGCAGGUGACCGUUAGACUCUGACAUGCGGCUAACGUUGGAGCACCGGACGCUGGUGCUGAGCGUCCGGUGCCCCUUUAAGAGCGUCCGGUGACCCCGUAUUUCGCCCAGUGAAAGAGCCAACGGCUCUAUUUGUUUGAGGGGCUAUAAAUACGUGUUUGGCCGGCUUGGGGCUCACCCUCUUGGCAUUCUAGCAUACUUGACAUCCUUGUGAGCCCAAGCAAACACCUCCCACUCAUCUCCUUCAUAGAUUAAACAUCUUUGUGAGAUUGGGAGUGAUUCCAAGUGCAUUUGCUUGAGUGAUUGCAUCUAGUGUCACUUGGGGAUCGUUCUAGCUGCGGUUUUCUUGUUACUCUUGGUGGUUGCCGCCACCUAGACGGCUUGGAGCAGCGGAGGAGGAUUGGCACGAGUUGGUGAUUGUUCGUGGCCAUCUCCCGGUGAUUGUGAGGGGUCUUGUACCUUCCCCGGCGGAGAGCCGAAAGGUAACUCUAGUGGAUUGCUCGUGUCAUUGAGCUACCUCACUUGUGGGUAGGUUCUUGUGGUGUCCUAGUGAGGACGAGGUUCGUGCUACACCUCUUAGCCACCGAACCACCAAGUGUUUGUCGACACAACGGGGACGUAGCGUGUCGGCAAGCACGUGAACCUCGGGAGAAAAUUCGGUGUUUCAAUUGUGUUUGAUUGGCAUUCUGUUGACACCGUUUUUGGGCACGUGUCCAGGAUGGUAGGAUGAGGUAGCAAGUAUGCUGUUUACAGGAUGGAUUGUCGAUGAAGAUGGUUACCGAUGAAAGAGAAGUCAGAUGUGGCCAAGUCUACAGGCGGUGAUGUGUUUAUGCCGAUAGCUGUGAUGGGGGAGUCUGCCGAUGACCAUGGCAAAGGGUCUGCCGACGAUAUGGAGGAGGAAUCUGGAAACUGCUGAUCGGUUUAUGGAAGGAUUUUAGUUUGUCACGGGAGAUAACUUUGUUAUUUCUUUGUUUAUUUAAGACGUUUUGUAUACGGAUUCCGUGUAAUUUGGAAUUCGAAUUCUAGUCGUGUUUAGUUGUAGUUCUUUGAAUAGGGUAUAAAUAUGAACCCUAGGGCUUUGUAAUGAGACAUCUAUCAAUCAAUCAAACACACGUUUUUACUCAUAUUCCAGCAUCUACUUUUCGACGACUUCGUCAUACUUUUUCCUUUUAUUACGAGUUCUUAGGAAUUCGUCGACUUAAGCUCGGCGUGUUCUCGAGUUCCGCGUGAGUACCUCUUAGCCGUGACAUCCGGGCGCAUCGCUGUUGUCAGGACUAAAGUAUUCGAGUUAUCACCUUUGCCGAUAGUAAGGUCAAAUCGGCUGGCACGCCUUAACGUUUGAAUCGGGUAUUAGCCCUUUGUGUUUGCAGAUCAGCUUUGCAUCAACACAUCUUUUGGCACGCCUGGUGGGACCAGAUUCAAGAUCAAGAUUAACAUGUCGAUCUCUGACCUCGAUCAGGAGAACGUCAUCCCCGUGACGGAGGCCAAUCUCAAGGAUGAGCAGAAGCAAGCUAUUGCCCAAGCCAUGGAAGAGUUCAAGCUGCAAUGCCUGAGGUCUUUCAGCAUAAACAGGAGCGGCGAGGUGGUCCAGAAAGAUGCACUGCCGGCACCACGGCAGGUUACCUUCGAAGCCAAUCCUGGCAAGCUUCAAGAUAUGGUUGACAGCGCUAUCAACCGAGCUUUGAUCAACCAAGCUGGUGUACUGUCUAAUACGGUUUUCAAUGCCGUGGCAAGAACUUUCAAGGAAGGACAAAUCCCACCAGAUUACGUGGGCCCCUCUCAUCAUCAGCCAACGACACCAGAGGUCACGGCCCCAUCGGCUGCUUUGAUGGCUGCAAGUGCACAAUCUGCCGUCCCUCCAAGUACAUCGGGAACUACUGGUGCACUAUCUAUGCCGAUGACAACCAACCCACAAAUUUCAGUUGGGCAGCAUAAACUGACAACAGAUAUGUUGGCAUCGGCAAUGUCAGGGUUGACUCUUCCUCCCAACUGGUGGGGUUACGGUAUGCCUCCAGAGUUGACACCGAGAACAUCACAAAUAACUGACAUGAGGGGCAAGACUCCUAUGACAUCGGCACCUCCCAAUGCGCCGGUGAACCAGAGUCCUCGGUAUACCACAACUACUACUGCAAGGCCUCACACUGGAAAUCCUCAAGAUUCAAUGUUCCAAAUGCCUAAUGCAUCGGCAGAUUCAAUGCUGAUGCAACAGAGGUCUAUGGCACAGUCGGGGUAUGUCACUUCAAUGAUGGUACCCAAUUACCAAUCAUCGGCAGCACCUAUGCCGAUGAACGCUAAUAAUGGAUGGCUUGGACAGCAAGUCUCUCCACAGUCGCCCUAGCAGAGUUAUCAGACUACAGGGUUCCAGCAAGGACAGGUCUAUCCCGGGUUCCAAGGUCAGGGGAUUCCCAACCAGCCAAUGAAUUUCGGACAACAACUCGGGGGAUAGCAACUCGGGGGGCAGCAAAUCGGUGGACAGCAGUUCGGUGGUCCGCAGAUUGGUGGUCAAAUAAUCAACCCAGUGUUCCGUGCAAAUCACGUCCCGAACAGACACGUGGAGGUUCGCCACCAAGUGCCAGAUCCGCAACCGCCUCAUCGGCAGGAUGCCGACGCGUAUUGGGCCGAUAAGAUUGCUGAAGUAAUGAGGGAACAAUUUGGGAUAAAACCCAAAGUCAACACGUACUCUUAUCGGACACCGUAUCCUCCCGCAUAUGAUUUGAUCCCGCUUCCACAUCGGUACAAGGUACCGGAUUUUACCAAGUUUUCCGGGCAGGAUGAUACGUCAACCAUGGAGCAUGUCAACAGGUUCAUCAUUCAAUGUGGAGAGGCUGGUAACAGGGACGAAUUGAGGGUUCGUCUAUUUUCAUCAUCAUUGUCUGGAUCGGCCUUUACUUGGUUCAUAUCAUUACCUCCUAAUUCAAUAAUUACUUGGGCCGAUCUAGAGAAACAAUUCCACAAGUACUUCUUUUCUGGAGUUCACGAGAAGAAGAUCACCGAUUUGGUCAAAUUGAGACAGCGCAACGAUGAAUCGGUUGAAGGUUUCGUACAGAGGAUACGGGAGGUUAAGAAUAAAUGCUACAGUCUGGUUCUAGAUGAUCGGCAGCUAGCCGAUUUGGCUUUCCAGGGUCUGUUGCCACACAUCAGGGAUAAGUACGCCUCUCAGGAGUUUGAAAGCUUAAGUCAUUUAGUACAGAGGAUCUCUGAUCAAGACAUCAAGCCUUUCGAGCCCAAAAGAGCAUGGAAUAAGAAAGUGUCAUUUGUCGAUGAAGCAACAGGCUCAGAUUCUGAUGAGGAACCAGUCAUCGGCUUGGCAGAAUGGGUAAAAAACAAGAAGCCGAUGUCUUGUCCUUUUGGGCAGAAGGAACCAGUGAAGUUUGCUUUUGACACCGCUAAGGCCGAUAGGAUAUUUGACUUUCUACUUCAGGAAGGUCAGAUCAAACUGUCACCUAAUCAUGUGAUCCCAUCGGCAGAGGAGUUAAAGAGGAUGAGAUAUUGUAAGUGGCAUAAUGCAACUUCCCAUGACACCAAUGAGUGCAAAGUAUUCAGACAGCAGCUGCAAUCGGCUAUAGAAUCUGGGAGAAUCAAGUUUGACAGUUCCAAGGCCCAGAAGCCGAUGAAGAUAGACCAACAUCCUUUCCCGACAAACAUGCUGGAUGCCAAGGGGAAGGCUAAGGUCCUAACAUCGGAGACAGCUGAGAAGAGUGCAUCAGUAGAUCCUCAGCAUCAAGUUACUACUGCCGAUGCAAGAAGUAAGGGCUUGGUCCAGGAAGGAACUACCUCAGGAAGGCCUCCUCGGUCUGGUAUCGUUAUAACUCAUAGAAGGCCUCGAGAAAAUUGGCAGCAACGGGAGGAUCGGUAUCAGCACCAGCAAGAAGAUUAUCGACGGGAGGAAGAAAGACGCCGACAGGAGUGGAAUCGGCACAGAGAUCAUUGGAAUUGUCCGUUCUUCAUCCAUUGUUGGGAGGAAAAUAUCAAGCUUCCUACUGUCCGAGACUGUCCUGAGUGCAACUGUUAUGAUCGGUACGAUAGAACCGAUCGGCGUUAUCAUGAUGAUGAUCGGCGAUUUAAUGGGCCAAUCAGAGGAAGGGCGUCAGUUCAUGAUCGACUGGGGGGCAGGCUUUGCGUGCACGAUAGGCUUGGUAACCGUGUCCAGUAUUUUCCCAGGAACCAGGAGGAGCUCAAGGAGAUGGCUAAUGCGCGGGUUCCCGAUGAGUUCAUAUUUUGCAGGGAUGCUAACACGCAUCGUAUGGAGUCAAGGGAGAAUCGACGCCUGGCAGCAAGGCAAAAGCCACUUCCUCCAUGGUGCCCUGAAGGAUUAACCAAGACACAGAAAAGGAGAUUGCAACGUGAAAGGCAAGAGGAGCUAAGCUAGGGCGAGGACUCCGGAAGUCAGCAGCCAUCAGACCCUAAGAGGGAAGGUCCAUCGGCAGGAGUCAACAUGGUCUGUAUGUUGCCGAUGGAGUUUCUUGCACCAUCCAGUGAUGAUGAGUUAGAGUUUUCUGAUCAGAUAGCUCAGCUGGCUCUGGAUCCUAUGACAGCUAUCUUUGAGAAACCUGCCGAUGAUGAAAGACAGCAUCUCAAAGCUUUAUUCGUCAAAGGCAGUGUUGAUGGGCAGCCAAUGACCAAAAUCCUAGUUGAUGGUGGGGCUGCUAUUAAUAUUAUGCCGUAUGCAGUGUAUCAGAAGCUUGGGAAAGGAGAUCAGGAUUUGACCAAGACCGAUAUGAUGCUCAAGGAUUUUGAAGGAAACGUGUCUCCAGUCAAGGGGGCGAUAUGUGUGGAGUUGACCAUCGGCAGCAAAACCUUGCCGACAACUUUCUUCGUGAUCAGCGGAAAGGGUGCUUACAACUUAUUGUUGGGAAGAGAUUGGAUUCAUGCCAAUUGUUGCAUCCCAUCUACAAUGCACCAAUGCUUGGUUCAGUGGGUACAUGACAAGAUUGAGAUUGUCCCAGGAGAUUCUUCUUAUGUGAUUGCAUCGGCAGAGGCGGAUACCUAUGAAAGGACUAGGUGCAUUUCAGGGGAAGUUUGGGAGAAAGAUUUUCUCAAAGUUGCCGAUUACGAGAUUCCACCGAUCCAAGCAGUCGGUUGUGACGACGGUUUUUAAUGGAUAGAUUCGCCGAUGAUGGAAAAUUGGGCCAGGGGUUCACAUCGGCCGAUGAUUUGGUAGAAGUAGAUAUAGGUAGUGGUGAUAAGCCUAGACCUACUUUUAUUAGUGCUAAAUUAGAUCCUGACUGUAAGCAACAACUAACUGAUUUGUUAAAGGAAUAUAAAGAUUGCUUUGCUUGGGAUUACACCGAGAUGCCUGGUUUAGACCGAUCAAUUGUUGAACAUCGGUUACCCAUCAAGUCUGGAUUUCGGCCACAUCAGCAACCGGCUCGCCGAUGUAAUCCUAACAUUCUACCUGAUGUUAAGGCCGAAAUCACCAAACUCAUUGAGGCCAAGUUUAUUCGGCAGUGUCGGUAUGCCGAAUGGAUUUCCAAUGUUGUUCCGGUUUACAAGAAAAACGGGAAGCUUCGGGUGUGCAUUGAUUUCAGGAAUCUCAAUAAAGCUACGCCGAUGGAUGGAUACCCGAUGCCUAUUGCCGAUCUGUUGGUUGACGCUGCGGCUGGUCAUCGGGUCAUCAGCUUUAUGGACGGCAAUGCAGGAUACAAUUAAAUAUUCAUGGCAGAAGAAGACAUUCCAAAAACCGCAUUUAGGUGUCCUGGUCAUGUUGGGCUAUUUGAAUGGAUAGUCAUGACCUUCGGGUUAAAGAAUGCUGGUGCUACUUAUCAAAGGGCAAUGAAUUUUAUAUUCCAUGAGUUCAUCGGCAAGCUGGUGGAGAUUUAUAUUGAUGAUGUGGUGGUCAAGUCUGGAGAUUUCUCAAAGCAUCUUGCCGAUUUACGAAAAGUGUUAGAGUGCACAAGGAAGCAUGGAUUGAAGAUGAAUCCCAACAAGUGUGCAUUUGGUGUAUCGGCAGGGCAGUUUCUUGGUUUCAUGGUACAUCAAAGGGGGAUUGAAAUUAGUCGAAGAUCUAUUGAUGCCAUCAAUAAGAUAGUGGCCCCCACCAACAAGACUGAGCUCCAGUCCUUGAUCGGCAAGGUAAAUUUUAUCAGGAGAUUUAUAUCCAAUCUGUCUGGUAAGAUUCGUGCUUUCAGUCCUCUUCUUAAAUUGAAAGCCGAUCAAGAAUUUAUUUGGGGAAAAGAACAGCAGUUGACUCUGGAUGAAAUCAAGAAGUAUCUAGUAAAUCCUCCAGUUCUAGUUCCACCUCAACAAGGAAAGCCCUUCAGAUUGUAUUUGUCUAUCGAUGGGACAGUUAUCGGUUCAGCUCUAGUUCAAGAGUUUGAAGGGAAAGAAAGGGUAAUUUAUUACUUGAGUAGGAGGUUGAUUGAUGCUGAAACCAGGUAUUCGGCCAUUGAGAAACUAUGCUUAUGCUUAUAUUUUUCAUGUAUUAAGUUGAGACAUUACCUGUUAUCGGCCGAAUGCACUGUUGUUUGCAAAGAUGACGUGGUCCGGUACAUGCUAUCUAUGCCGAUUAUGAAUGGCAGGAUUGGUAAGUGGAUUUUAGCGCUGUCGGAGUUCGAUCUGCGUUACGAAUCGGCUAAGGCAGUCAAAGGGCAGAUUAUGGCCGAUUUUGUGACUCAGCAUUGCGGUGUAGUGGAAACCUUGGAAAUUGUGCCCUGGACGCUCUUCUUUGAUGGAUCUACCUGUGACCGGGGGGCAGGAAUCGGCAUUGUAUUAGUUUCCCCUAAGGGGAGGAAGUAUGAGUUUUCCUUACCGAUUGUUGCUACGUCAACGAAUAAUCAGGCAGAGUAUCAGGCUCUGAUCAAGGGAUUGGAAUUGUUGAGGGAAGUUCGUGCUGAUGCUGUUGAAAUCUUCGGAGAUUCUAUGUUGGCUAUAAAUCAAUUGGUCGGGAGUUAUGAAUGCCGAAGCGAGAUUCUCAUUACUUAUUACGAGAAGAGCAUGCAACUGUUAAAGGAAUUCAAGGAUUUCCGAUUAGAGCAUGUUCCUCGAUUGCAUAAUGAAGAGGCCAAUCGAUUGGCUCAGCAUGCCUCGGGAUAUCAGCCUAUGAUUAAUGCGAUAUCGGUAAUCGGUGCCGAUGAUUGGAGGAAGGAAAUUAUUGAUUAUCUAAAAGAUCCAUCUAAAAAAGUCGAAAGACGAGUUCGGUUUCAAGCAACCAAAUAUGUGCUCCUUGAAGAUGAAUUGUAUUAUCGAACUAUUGACGGAAUUCUUCUCCGAUGCUUGGGUGAUGAUGAAGCUAGAAGUUUGAUAGGAGAAAUCCAUGAAGGAGUGUGUGGAGCGCAUCAGUCAACUUUUAAAAUGAAGUGGAUGAUUCGAAGGAAUGGAUAUUUUUGGCCGACCAUACUUGAGGAUUGUUUUAAAUAUUUCAAGGGGUGUCAAGGUUGUCAAAAGUUUGGUAAUAUUCAAAGAGCACCCGCAUCGGCUAUGAAUCCUAUAAUAAAGCCUUGGCCGUUCCGGGGAUGGGCUAUCGAUCUGAUCGGCCAGAUUUAUCCACCAUCUAGCAAAGGGCAUAAGUUCAUUCUAGUUGCCACUGAUUAUUUCACUAAGUGGGUUGAAGCUAUUUCUUUGAAGAAAGUCACAUCGGCCAAUAUGAUUGAUUUUGUGAAGGAGCAUAUUAUUUACCGAUUUGGGAUCCCUCAAACGAUUACUACCGAUCAGGGCACUAUGUUCACAUCGGGGGAGUUUGAUGAAUUCGCAAUCGGUAUGGGGAUUAAAGUGUUGAAUUCUUCUCCUUAUUAUGCUCAAGCCAAUGGGCAGGCCGAGGCGUCUAACAAAGGAAUUAUCAAGCUUAUUAAACGAAAGAUUGAAGAAAAUCCUAAGCGGUGGCAUACAUUGUUAAAUGAAGCACUGUGGUCUUGUCGGAUGGCUUGUCAUGGAUCAACCAAGGUGUCACCCUAUCAAUUGGUGUAUGGACAUGAUGCAGUGUUGCCUUGGGAGAUUAAGGCCGGAUCCAGGCGAUUGUCUUUUCAAGAUCAGUUAACCGCCGAUGAUUAUGCCACUUUGAUGACCGAUGAGUUGGAUGAUCUAGCAGGGCAUCGGUUAAAAGCUUUAAUGAGUAUAGAAGAAAAUAAGAAGAGAGUUGCUAGAUGGUAUGAUAAGAGAGUGAAGACUAAGGAGUUUGCCGAUGGGGAUUUGGUAUGGAAAUUAAUUUUGCCAGUCAGGACUAAAAGUGCGAAGUUUGGAAAGUGGUCUCCUAAUUGGGAAGGUCCUUAUCGGAUAAGUCGAUCGGCUCUUGGUAAUGCCUAUAUUCUAGAAACUCUCGAAGGAGUUGAAUUUCCCAGAGCAUUAAAUGGCAAAUAUUUAAAGAAGUACUACCCCAGCAUAUGGGUCGAUGCAUAAAAGUUUAAAUGCCGAUAACACUCCUAUCGGCUGGAUUAAAGUGUAUCUGGGGAUGGACUUAAUAUUUCAAAAGAUGCCGAUAACAGUCCUAUCGGCUAGACUAAAAGCUGAGGAAGCAGGAGAGCACAAAUAUGAUGCCAAUGAAAGCUUUAUGUGUUAAGCAGUGCCUGGAUUGCCGAUAUAGCGCGCAACCGGAUUUGGUUGGCUGCUUCUAUCUCCUUAAUGUCAUCAUCGGCAGAACCUUCUAUCGGCUUCAGCUUCUUCUUCAGUUGAAGUGCCUUGCGACCAUGAACAUUUCGCUCGUGCUCAAGAAGCCUGAUGGUCUCUGGCAAUUGGCUCUCUUCCUAUUGGGCUUGGGAUAAGGCGUUCUCCACUUCCUUGAGUUCCGCCAACAGGGAUUCUCUUCUUGCCGAUAGAUCGGAUAUCUUCUGCUUCAGCGCAUCUCCUGAAGAUCUCAGGAUACCGAUGUUCUUGUGCUUCUCAUCGGUCAGGAGUUUCUCUUUCCUCAUUUCAUCGGAGAGUUGAGUCUGAGCGGCUCUAUCGGCAAGACGCCGAGAAGCUCUCUGGUACUGCAGCUGGCGACUCUCCAAAUGAGCGGCUUGGAACAGGAUUUCUUCGACGUCGGCUGGGAUUUGGCCUCUGAGAGUUCUGAACAAGGUCUUGGUAGGGUCGGAGUCAUCAACCAAUUGCGCUGUGUCCUGGUGAAGGAGAGCUGACAAUUCUUCCAGCCUGGCCCUGAUCUCUGCCGAUGUAAUGCCAACUGUCUGAGAAGAGCUUGCUUCUUCGCCUUCUUCUUCAGAGAGAUCGAUGGCGAAGGAAAACAGGCUAUCGGGAGAAUCUUGUUCCUGGGAGGGAAAGCAAGGUUAGCUCAUAUUCAGAGAAUCGGCAAAUAAUGCUGACGGUAAACAGUGACUUACUUGCUUCAAGGCAAUCUCUUGCCUUGGACUGGGAGGUGCUGACGGAGCUGCAGGCUGAUCGGCCAAAGAUGCCGAUGGAACUACAGGUUGAUAGGCUAAGGUUGCCGAUGGGACGAUAUCGACUGAAAGAAGACAAGAAAGGUUAUGAGACUAAAUGAGAAUAAGUUCAUCGGCAACGGUAUUGUUAAAGUAUGUUACCUGGAGGAGGAAUAACGGUUGUCUGAAUCGGGAGAACCGCCGAUGAUAUAAUUGGACCCACCGGACCAGUUGUUUGUUCACCCACAUCAGCUGAUGUACAUUCUGUUUGAGGCUCUUCCUGCUGGGAUUCUUCCAUCUGUGGUGCUUCCUGCAUUGGUUGGGGAGAUGGUGCUUGCUGUGUCUGGACUUCUGGAGAAGAAGGAGAAGACUCCACUGGGAUUGGAGAUACCGGAGGAGGAGGGGGAGUUGCCACUUUUUGGCGUUUCGUUUCGGCCCUGGUGCUCUUGACACCCUUCCUCUUUGGCUGGCUGGACUGGGGGGCAUCGGCACCUUGACGUGUGACCUUUGCCGAUGCACUGGUUUGCUGCAAUAACGAACAAGGGUUUAUAACUAUAAAUAAAGCCGAUAUAAAGAUAGUCAGCGUAAAAGAAAAAGAUUUGACAAAUUGCCUUGAAAGCCCACGCCAGAGUGGGAGCAGCUACCGUUGGUGAUGUCUGGGUUCUCCUGGUGGUGACUUUCCUGAGGCGCACACCCCGAUGCACGAUGGAAGCCAGAGUGGGAGCAUUGUGGCCGAUUGAGGAAAUUGGGCCUGAUGGAAACAAGUCGAUCGGCUUGCCACUCCUGCUAACCGAUGGGGGGAUGUCGUCCACCUGCAAAAGGAAUACAAGGGUAAGCUACCGAUGGAAAUAAUGUUGAGAAAAUGAAACAUCGGUUGGAGAUACUUACAGUGUCAUCGGGAAUUUCGUAUUCGGAGUCGAUCAUGCCGCGGUAUGAAAGGGCCGAUCUGCAGAAUAGAUGCUCUUUCCAUUCUGCCCACCAUAACUUGUAUGCCUGAGUGAUAAAAGCAGCCGGAACCCAUUCUGACAGAUCUACAUCUGUAUCGGCGUUUGGUGGUAGUUGGGCUACUCGACUCCACUCAAGAAAGUUGUUGAUAGUUUCUCUGGGUUUUAUCACAUCGGCAUAAGGAAGUGCGAUCGGCAACUGGCCGAAAGCUAACUGGCGAGCUAAUGCCGAUGGAUUGUAAAAUUCAUAAGUCUGGGGAGAAGUUUUUGUGCUACCGAAGAAAUUCACUGGAAUGGCUCUGGGAGUCACAAUUGCCAUCAUCGCCUCAUUGUCCCUGUCGAGAGCUUCAUCAAAUGGAUUGAAGGUCAGAGGGAGCAUGCUAUCUGGGUCAUCAUAAGCCAACCAUGGUCGUUCAUCUCUGGCCAAACCCUCAUACAGAGUCUGGAAGAAUCGGCCGAUCUGAUCCGGAUUACUCCCUGAACCAGGUAGAACUAUGACAGCUUCGCCAAAGUUCAAGGGGGCACGCGUUGCCGAUUCCUCUUCACCCAACAUAUGAUUUUCGGCUAUAUCUCUUGGGAAGUGCUGUGAGAACAAGUUGAAAUCAAGGCGCUUAUGCAGGUGCAGAUUGAGCCACAUAUUAAUAAACCACCAGGGGCCUCCCAAGUUGCCGAUGGACUGGCCAAGCAGGAGUUUCUGGGCUACCUGAUGGAGAAGAUGGUAAACAGCGCCAAGCAAGUAUCGGCCGAGAGGAAAUUGGCCACCGUUAGCCAGUCUCUCUGCUGCCGAUAGAUAGACGGAAGUCGGUCCUGCCGAUCGACCACAGAAUACAAACUUGUCCAGCCACAUGUUCAGGAAGGUGGUUUGCUCCUUUAUGGUGACAGGCCCUCUCCCGCGGUACUUCUGAAUGUACCCUGACCAACCGCCGAUAGCGCGAGUCUCCACUUUGGCACUGGGGGCAGUAUCAAAAAAGUGGGUGCUAUCGGCAGAAGAUAUAUCUAGACCAGUGAGCAUGGCUACAUCGGCAAGGGUAGGAGAAGCAGGGCCGUGGCCAAAAACAAAAGCAUUGAGGGUGUCUGACCAAAAGUAGGACGCAGCUAUCAGCAGUGACUCGUUCCUGUGCAUAUCGGCAAUGGAUAGCCUAAUGCAUUGGGCUAGCUUCCUUUCGCCCCACUGGACUUCAUAAGAAUUGCUGACCCUCAAGAACCAGUCUUUCCACCCUACGGUAGGGCUGGGCCAAGAGCGAAAAGUGUCUUUCCACAGAUCUAAAGAAAAGUUUUCAGCUCUAAAGGGGAUCCUGUUGGUUUCUGCGUUGAUAAGGUCGGUUGGAUCUGAAUCCCCUAGAGGGCCGAGACAUUGAAGGUGUGGUUGAUCGGUAGGGAUGACAAUUUUAUUGGACAACUCCUAGUGAUUUUGGGGGUAAAAGAAAUAAAAAAAAGGAAGAUAUUCAGUAAAAUGAAUUACGGACGAACAGAGAUACGAGGAAAAAUAUGCAGGAGACGGGAUGGAGAUCUGACCUCAGGAACGACGAAGCUAACGGCCAUCUUGCCGCGAAGAGAGCGUUUGAGGGCACCGGAGUUGAUGAGUAGGAGUGCUUGACAGAGGUCUUGGGAGUUUCGAAUGGCGCCGCCGCUGGAAAAGUAAGGUUGGGCGGUGGAAUGAUGUGGUGGGGAAGGAGUACCCGAGAAGGAACUAUUUAUAGGACAAAAUGGACAAGGGCAAAUCUGACUUGUCUCUUUGCCGCAUCCGAGAAAUCCGAGGGUACUCAGGUAGAUAUGGUAACUGUUCGCACGGUAAUCAAGGGAUUGCGCAGGUGAUUUGAUGGGAGGCGGUCAUUAUUGAAGAUAUUUUACUGUGCGAGAUCUCCUGGUCGGUUCAUCGGCAGCGUUCUAUAACGUUCAUAUUGCCGAUGGACGAAUAAAGGGGAAGUGGCCGUUUGUAUGAACGUCCUGGUCAAUACAUCGGCAGACCUUUGUAACGGUAACAUUGCCGAUAUACGGUUGAGAGAGAAGUGCCCGUUUAGGAAGUCGAGGAUUUCGGGAAAUCUACGGAAGAAUAGGAUCAGAGUUGUUCAUAUUGAGGUUGUCGGUUACCAGAUUAGGGGCAUUAAUUGUGGAAAAAGGCAUCAUUACUGCAGAGAAUUUCGGAGCAUUAAUAGUUUUAUACUCCGAAAUUGGGGGGCAUGUGUUGACACCGUUUUUGGGCACGUGUCCAGGAUGGUAGGAUGAGGUAGCAAGUAUGCUGUUUACAGGAUGGAUUGCCGAUGAAGAUGGUUACCGAUGAAAGAGAAGUCAGAUGUGGCCAAGUCUACAGGCGGUGAUGUGUUUAUGCCGAUAGUUGUGAUGGGGGAGUCUGCCGAUGACCAUGGAAAGGGUCUGCCGACGAUAUGGAGGAGGAAUCUGGAAACUGCUGAUCGGUUUAUGGAAGGAUUUUAGUUUGUCACGGGAGAUAACUUUGUUAUUUCUUUGUUUAUUUAAGUCGUUUUGUAUACGGAUUCCGUGUAAUUUGGAAUUCGAAUUCUAGUCGUGUUUAGUUGUAGUUCUUUGAACAGGGUAUAAAUAUGAACCCUAGGGCUUUGUAAUGAGACAUCUAUCAAUCAAUCAAACACACGUUUUUACUCAUAUUCCAGCAUCUACUUUUCGACGACUUCAUCAUACUUUUUCCUUUUAUUACGAGUUCUUAGGAAUUCGUCGACUUAAGCUCGGCGUGUUCUCGAGUUCCGCGUGAGUACCUCUUAGCCGUGACAUCCGGGCGCAUCGCUGUUGUCAGGACUAAAGUAUUCGAGUUAUCACCUUUGCCGAUAGUAAGGUCAAAUCGGCUGGCACGCCUUAACGUUUGAAUCGGGUAUUAGCCCUUUGUGUUUGCAGAUCAGCUUUGCAUCAACACAUUCUCCCGGUGCUUGAUUGUUUAUAUUGGUGAUUGGUUCAUCCCCUACUCGGUGGUAUAAUUAUCUCAUCCACUCUUCUACUUUUCCGCAAACUAAAGUAGCUUACUUACUUGUAUAGAAACUUUAGGUAGCUUUCUAGUGUAAGUAGUGACAUAGCUCUUGUGUGCCUAGUGAUUAUAUCAACUAGAAUUGUUGGAUAGGUGGCUUGCAAACACCCCAUUAGAGCUAGAGCAAAAAGCUUUGCUUUGUUAUUUACUAACCUCUUGCUCUAGUGAGUUUGUAGAAUUUUAAAUAGGCUAUUCACCCCCCCUCUAGCCAUAUUAGGACCUUUCAGCCACCUGCCAGGAUAGUUGGGCAGUCGGCAAAGAAUCCUUUGCCGACUGCUUUUAGAAGCAGUCGGCAAAGAGAAUGUUUGCCGACUGCCCUUUCUUUGGCAGGUGGCAAAGGAUUUUAGCAGUCGCAAAGCCCAGUUUUCCUGUAGUGGGCAGACCACUAUAUGCUUUCAAUAAGGAAGUUCCCAUAUGAUUGACGUUUUCUUCCACCUCUUCUUAUUGUCACUCUUCUGCUUUCCUUUUUCACUAUGCUUUCACUUCCCAAGGACAAUGCUCUCUGGGUCAAUAACUUUAGAUGUGGCAUCCUGUACCACCUGGUCAUAUACGUGUUGCCCGCUGAAAUCCCUUAGUGCAUAACCUCUCCCCCAUGCCAUCAAAUUGACAUUUCAUCUCCUGGUAUGGAUGACCCUUAGGAAGGAAACACCGGUGCCUUAAAUAGACCAUCUCUUUGACAUAUUUAGCCACACACGCUCUGUGUCAUGUAAGCACUAAAAGCAGUCUUUUUCUCCUUUGCUCUACCUUAACACGCUACGAUGUCCUAGGAUAUCAGUGAUAGUGGUGAAGAGCAACGGCGGCGCUGAACGUGUCAUCGGGAACAUGGAGCGCAUGGUGGUGCCAGGCUGCAUCCUGUGUGGGAGGAAAGACAAGGCCGAGGGUGUCGCUGCUAUGGCGCUCUGCGUCAAGCAGGAGCACGCGGAGGCCUUCCAUGCGGAGCUGCGAAGCCUCAAGUGAUGUGGAUAAUAUGAAUAUUGUCUUUUCAGUUUAUCAGUGCACACCAAAACGUAGACUUGCCGAUGGAAUCGCGCAUAUUUAUGAGUCUAUUUUUCUCUCAUAUAGCAAACACAAUAAUCAAAAUUGGAUUACCUUUUUUAUAUAUGAGUGAGCCUAUCGAAUAAAACAGUAAUAGUCAGAGCUUAAGUCUCAAUUGUUGUUUCUUAAAUUCUAGUUAGAGUUUCUUAAGUUUUGAUUGAAAUUGAACUUUUGUAUUGAUUGAGAAAUAUGUCUAUUUUCUAUUUCUAGAACCGACAAUUAUUGAAUUUGUCUAGGUUUGAGAUUACUUUGCAGAUCAGGAUGUGGGGAGCAAGCACCAAGCUGAUCUACCAACUCAGUGAACUCAAUAACAUAAGCACUAGUAGAGAACAGACUUUUCGUCCUAGGAUUUUGUUCCGGUCAUUUUUAGGCCUGCUAGGACUAAUGUUUUUCCCUACACAACGGUUAGAAGCGCAACUUUUGCAGGAGGGGGAGUAACAGGGAUCCUUAUGCUUAACGUAUAUAUUAGGGACGAUCCAUUAGAGAUUUCAAUCCUAUAGGCUCUAGCACCAGUUCUUUUCAUGCAUUAAUUCCCGAGUGCAUUAUGUUUAACGUAUCUUAAACACAUAUGUUAGUUGUAAUGGUUAGGAUGUCAUCCUGGUAAAACCCUUAAUUACUCAUGCGCACAUAACUUGUCCUUAGAACAUGAACUGAUAAAAAAUUUGAUAAUACAUAUAUAUUUUAUCAAGCUUUCAUCCCCUUUUCUUCCAUUGGCAUAUGAACUACAGGUCCUAUUCUAAUCUAGUACGGAAAAGGACAGAGUGCAGCUUCCUCGCCGAUCCGGCAUUGGUACACAAAAAUUAAUGGAGACGGUCACUUUUGAUUAUUGGAGGCGGACAUAUGCAACCGCCUCCAAUAAAAGAUCAUGGUUACUGCAUAGACAAUCGAUAUAAAAAAACAAAAAAAAGGAAAAUUCCAUGGAUAGGCCCGCCGAGCCCAUCCACAGGUGGCUGCCACCGUUCGCUAGAUCCGCGCUGGAUCUGCCACUCUCCUCGACAGAUUUGGGUGCCGUCGGAGAAGAUCGGGUCUCGCGUGUGAUGCUGGAGAAGGAGAAGACCAAGCAACGGCGGAGGAGGAGAUCCAUGCCGCCCGCGCUGGAGGAGAACCACGAAGCCAAAACCCUGCACCAGAUCCACCAUUGCCGCCAUCGUUGUUGGAUCCCGUUGCCGCCGCUAUUGCCGAACCCUGCGCAGGCCCUCGCCUUGGAUCCACCGUUGCCAGGCGCAAUGGCCGCGACUACCGGGAGCACACGACCUCCACCGUCGACGCGCGUGGCCCUUGCCUAGGUGACUGGCUCCCACCACUGGGCCCUCUGCUAGGGAGCGCGACCACCAUGGCUAGGGCGGAGGCGCGAGGCCCUCGCCUGGGUGAGCGGCCCUCUCUCGCUUCCUCACAUGCGCCACUAGGAGAGAGUGGAGGGAGGGCCGAAGGGGGAGAGAGUGGAGGGAGGGCCGGAGGGAGAAAGAGUGGAGGAAGGGCCGGAGGGAGGGAUGGUGCAUCUGCUAAGGGAGACCGAGAGGAAGGCCGCCGCAUCUGAGAUAGGAAGAGGCAGAGAGACUGGAUGAGGAAGUUGAAACCCUAACUAGCCGUAUAUAUAUGAGGAACGAGUUAUUGGGCCGAGGUAUGGGUUGUUGGGCCACUAUUUUUAGAGGCGGUUGUCUUUAAUCGACCUCCUCCAUAAAUCUAUUUUCCAAGACGGGCAAAAGUGUCUGCCUCGGUAAAUAAAAAUACGGCUGUCUCCAUUAAUCAUAAGCAUAAACCGAGCCGGUUGGAUUUUGUGACUACCUCCAUUAAUGAAAAUACACCGUCUUGCAAAUCAUUUGUGUAAUAGUACAAACUGCAUUAACUGUUGAUGUGAUAAAUACAUAUACGAGCAACAAGUUACUCGAUUUAUAAAUGUCCUGCAAGAUUAGUACUACUAGUUCCUAAUGCAUGGCUACAUAUUUUCAUAAUAAUUUGGCGGUAAGCUAGGUUCCAGCAGACACAUAUUUUCAUAAUAAUAAAGUGGUGAACCGUGAAUGUAACACUGACAUCUAUGGCAAAGCAUACACGGACACAUGUGGCAGCACCGGGAAUGCACGUGUGUACCAGGUGGCGUCAUCGACCGUAACCUGCUAGCGUUCCAUGACGUGUACCAGGUGGCGUCAUCAACUAUAAACCUGCUGGCAUCAUCGACAGUGACGUGCGUAUCAUGGACUGGAAUUUACUUCAUCGACAGCGACAUUGACCUGCCGGGAGUACAAUGACACGUCAAUGGGAAAUUGAUGAGAUGAAAGCUGUGAGCAACCAAUCCCUAGAAACAUGGACGAGAACAGAUACAUGCGCAUGAGAGAAAGUUUAAUAAUACGGCCUACGUACUUGGUAGCUGUAAGGAUUCUUACCGCCUUCUCCCAGCCCACCCAUAAAAUAGUUAGCUAUUUACUAUUAAUACAUGACUCACUUAUCUCUCUUAUAAAGUUUUUUGGUUCUUGUGUCUUAAGCUGGCUGUAAGCUUACAGUCUGCUUCUCCUCUCUCUCUUUCUUUCUCUCCUCCACAUCAGCAUUUAGCCAGCUUAGGGCACUCACACUGCAGACUCUAUCAUAGAGUCUAAAGUUAUUUAUUACCUCGAACAAUGUGGACUUGGAGUUUAAAUAAGACUUGGAGUCUUAUUUUUUCUACCUCUUUCUUCAAUAAAUAUGCUGCCACAUCAGCAAAAUAUUAUAAAUAAUAUGUAAUUAAGUGUCUUGGACUCUGUGAUAGAGUCUUGCAUUGUGAGUGCCCUUACAGCCUACCAUAAUACUUGCUCUAAGGCAAUCCGUUGUAUGGAGCCGCUCACCCAUCCAAUUUUCUUGUAAUGGUCUGCCACGUGUCGGCAAUCAGGCAGGGGGCACACACAUGGUGCUAUGAGCCCGUCACCCACCUAAUUAAAUUUGCUUUGGUGGCGAGAUUUAUUGCACUUGCUUGAAACUUAUAAAGAAAUGACAUCGGUUACAAUGCAUAAUGGUAGAACUUGUAAUUGUGGGAAGACGUUUGGAAUGGACAAGCUUCCAAAUUGAACUUUUCGGAGGCUUUUGCCUUGGCGAAUAGAAGUAUUGUCAUCUUCAAAAAAAAGGUCACGACACAGGGCAUCCUCUACGAUUCUUUUCCGGUUACCACUUUCAACCACUGCUUUUGCCCAACACCCUCAGCUUCGGCUUCUCUUACCAGAUGUUUAGUCAUACUCCCCUUAAAAAAAGAUGUUUGGUCAUAUAAUCUGGCGGUGCACAAUUCUGUUCUUCCUCAAACACGGCGGUACACAUCAUCGACGAGAUGAGUGGCCAGCUCCUCACGGAGCACCACGUAGUACACAUUUGUUGACGGAGCGGUGUACAUCGCCGACAAGAUGAGCGCUGGAUCAAGGGCCUCGACGGUUAUGACACCUUGUACGUGACCAGCUGGUGGAAUCUCGGCUUGGACGACGUCGACUUCAGCAGUGGCGGCACUGAGCGUGUCAUUAGGAACCUGGAGCGCAAGGUGGUGCUAGCCUGCGUCCUAUGCGGGAGGAAGGAGAAGGACAUGGCUGAGGGCGUCACCGCUAUGGCUCUGUGCGUUGAGCAGGAGCACACGGAGGCCUUCCAUGCGGAGCUGCGAAGCUUCAAGUGAUGUGGAUAAUAUGAAUGAUGUCCUUUUAGUUUGUUAGUGCACACAAAAACCUAGACUUCGAUGGAAUAUUUCAUAGAUGUCGGUCUAUUUUUCUUUCGUAUAACAAACACAACAAUCAAAACUGGAUUACUUUUUUUAUGUAUGAGUGAGCCAUUUGAAUAAAACAUCAAUAGUCGGAACUUAAGUUUGGAUUGUUGUUUCUUAAUUUCUGGUUGGAGUUUCUUAAGUUUCGAUUGAAAUUGAACUUGAGUAUUGAUUUAAAAAUAUAUCUAUUUUUCUAUGUCUAGAACCAAUAAUUAUUCAAAUUGUCUAUGUUGGGGGCUCGACCUUGCCUUCCCCUGCCUGAUCACUUCGAAGGAUGGUCAUCAUCUUAAAACCUCCGACCCGCAGACCUUCGGACGUUUUAGUACGAAGGUCCCGGCGGAGCUAAUGGUAACACGUCUCGUGUGAUGUUUUGCGAUUACAGGAACCGAGCCGAAGGCGGAGACCGCGAGGGACGAAGGAGGGAUCCUUCGGGUCACCCCCGCAACGAAGGAUAGGCUGGAGCGUGUUUGAGGAUGCCGCGAGCACCGUGGAGACGGCGAGGAACCUUCGGCGCCUCCCGAGGGACCUUCGAUGCCUCCGAGCCGGAGGAUCGGCGGCCGACCGGAGGAUCGAGAGUCCUGGCGGACUGGAGUCUCGAGCAGGAGGCACGUGUUGAGCUCGCGGUGUGAAGUUACCCAAGUGACCUGUGGUCAGCAGACUGUGAUGAAGGAAUAUGCCAAGAUAUUCCCCCACCGUCACGGAGCAUUCUUGUAAUAGUCCUAGGUCGGCAUCCGUGCCCUAUAUAAAGCUAAGGAAGUGUAACUGCUCUUGUAAGAGAGAGAAGAGAUCAUUUACUAUUCCCACCUACUGUUCCCAACUACCGUUCUAGGGCAUCGAGCCCAUUGUCUGCAUUAUCCUAGCCACGCACUGCAGCGUGUGGGCAGGUAACUCGUGUGUCGUGCUGCUGGGGAGUGCAGGUGCACAUUUCCCAACAGUCUAGGCUGGAGAUUGCUUUGCAGAUCAGGAUGUGGAGAGUAAGCAGCAAGCUCAUCUUGAACUCAAUAACAUAUAUGCAACGAUUGUAGUCAAUUGUCUGACAUUGAAUGGACCACAAAGCAAAAGAUUGUGAUGAUGCCAAUCAAUGUGUCUCAAGAAAGAUUAAAUUAGUUGGCAAAUAUCUUUGGUUCUCACUAUGACAAAAAAGCACUUCAUAUACGCGCGUUCAGGCACAUCAUAGACGCUCCAGCGUGUGUCGAGAAUAAUUAAUGCGUCUAUAAUAAGAUUUAUUAUAGACUCAGAAACCAAGCGUGUGUUUUAAGCGCGUACCAACAUGCGACUAUGAUUAAAUUGAAAAUGCGUCUGUGUCAAUGACAACAUUUAGAUGCGUCCAUCUAUGACCUUCUAAGAUAUUACAUUAGAGAAGGAGCAGAGGCUCAUGAUUGCCAUUUGGGUUUUUUUGGCAAUGUUUUGGAUUCCAACUGCAACCAUCGUUAUGACCAUGACAUCACAAUCAUGAGCCUUCAUGGGAAGUAUCUUGUUUUCUUUUGUAGGCACAAGCUUUUAUAUGUUGGCUGCGUAUCUAGAGGAAAGUUUGACACUAUGAAAGAAGUCACAUAAUUCCUACUUCUCUUGUCAGGUCAGGUUUAUGGUAGAUAGAGGUGGAUGGGCACUGGUAGUGUCAGGUACAAGCUCGGGCCUGAUGUCCAAUUCCUAUAGGUCAGCUCUUGCUUUUGCAUGGUCCUUGGUUUUCCAUUGGUCAUCCAUGAUUGCCCCAAGCAAACUCCCACAAACAUUCUUUUUCAUGUGCAUGAGAUUAAUGCUAUGGCAGACCACCAUAUGCUUCCAGUAAGGAAGUUCCCAUAGGAUUGACAUUUUCUUCCACCUCUUCUUGUUGUCACUCUUCUGCUUUGCUUUUUCACUAUGCUUUCAUUUUCCAAGGACAAUGCUCUCAGGGUCAAUAACUUUAGGUGUGGCAUACCACCUGGUCAUAUACGUGUUGCCCACUGAAAUCCCUUGGUGCAUAACUUUCUCCCCCAUGCCAUCAAACUGAAAUUUCAUCUCCUGGUACGGAUGACCCUUAGGAAGGAAACAUCGGUGCCUUAAAUAUACCCUUUUCUUUGACAUAUUCAGCCACACACUCUCCGUGUCAUCUAAGUACUAAAAGUGGUCUUUUUCUCCUUUGCUUUGCCUUGACACGCUAUGACGUCCUGGGAUAUUAGUGAUAGUGAUGAGGAGCAAGGCACAUAGGUUGAAAUGUUCUUUCCUAUAGCCAUCAUACACCUUGAUACCCUUGUCUUCCUAGAGUUUCUUCAAAUAAUCAACAAGCGGCCUCAGAUACACGUCGAUGUUAAUGCUUGGUUGGCAUGGGCCACAUAUGGGAACUGGCACCAUCACGUACCUCCUCUUGUUACACAACCAUGGGGGAAGGUUGUAUAUAGUUAAUAGCACGGGCCAGACACUAUGUGAGAUACUCAUGUUACCAAAUGGGUGCAUGCCAUCCGUGCUAAGUGGAAACCAAAGAUUCCUUGGCUCAUCAGAAAAUGUUUUAUAUAUGACAUCAAUGCAAAACCACAAAAUACCAUCUGCUGGCUGUCAUAUAUAAUCAUCCACCGUCUACCCAUCCGAGUGCUAGGUCAAGAGUCGUGCAUCCUUAGAGGCUACGAACAAAUAUUACACGCAUGGAGUUAUGGGGAAGUACCAACAAACCAUCCUAGGAACUUUAUGGCGUGUCUCCUCGUUGUCAUCACUCUUGUCUGUUCUUCCUUGCCUGCAUUUUCAACAUGGAAUAGGAUGCAUUCAUUCUUGCAAGCAUGAAUCUUCUUGAACUUCAUCCCAUCAUACAAACAAUCUUCUUGGCCUCAUGUAGUCAUGGGAAUCUGAUUUCCCUCAGGAAACAAAUCGAUGAGCACUUCUAGCAAUUCUGUGAAGCCCAUGUCAAUCCAGUUAUUUCAUAUCUUCAGUUCAAGAAGCUUUAGUGUGCCUGACAACCUCGUAUAACCUCACAGUGCACUUGCAUGGAAUAGUGUCUUCAUAUCUACUAAUAGUUGUUUCAGCUUCUUCAAGUCUCAUCACUGAACUCAUCAUAGUCAAAGCAUAACACACUAUUAGCUCCUCUAGACUCUCAACCAUAGGGAUAGGGCUAGCAACAAUCUCUGCUACACAUCAUCCGAUAGUUUCUCAUUGCGAAAGGGUGCUUCGUCAUUGUCAAAGGGUGGUGUUCCUCAUUGCCACUAGCAUAAAGUCCUUCCUCACCAUCUUAAUUAUUCACUCCUUGAAGAAUUAGGUGGGCAUGGGCUGACCACUUAUUUUGGUACCGCUUCUCAUUCUUAUAGUCAAAAUAUGGGCACAACAUAGAUGUCUUAUCUCCAUUCCUCAUGCCCCCUCUGCUACAACUAGGAAAUUAUUGAGUCCUUCCAAGUACUCAUCAGAAAUAUGGUUCUUAACAUACAUCCAGUGGCCUCGAUCCUCCGUAGUCUACAAAAAGAUUGAGAAUGGAAGAAUAUAAGCACAAUUCAUCAAUGGCUAGUAAUAAAAAAUCACAUUUUUCUUAGUAGACUUAGUUCACAUUGCAAUCAUUCAUCACAAAGUCACAAGGCUCACAACUAUUCAUAGAGAGUUAGCACGUGCCAGAGAAUAGGAGGCCAAAGAUGAGAGCAGGGAGGAGAGCUGAGAACACCGCUGGCGAUCCCCUACAGUUGCUCGAGAGAUGGCGAAGUAGGAUCGGAGCACAAGAUCAAGCACACUACAAAGAUGGACGAGUUAGAGUUAGAAUCGAGCUUAUCUACAUAUACAACAGCUCAUGGUAGAGAAAAGGGAAAAAGAGGAGUGCCGGUGGCUCGAGAGCAGCUACCUAUGCAGUCAGAGAGCACGACCUGCCACCAGUGUUCAUGAUGACAACAAAGCACGCCUGGCCACACCAGCAAGCCCCUCUGGCCUAUGCUGCAGUAGCGAGCCCCUCUGGCCUAUCGCCUGCCACAACAGCGCCCCCCUUCCGUUCGCCGCCUCCUACGCGCCACACAUCUGCCCGCCCGACACCCUCGCUGUGCAGCUACUUCACCUGCCAACUCUGUCCACAAGGCUCAAAGCCAUAGCGACGACGGUAGGUGCUACUGCCAUGAGAGCUGCGCAAGAGCCCAUUGAGAAAUUCACUACGCGUCAAUACCCUCGCUCUUCUUGCACAUGAGAAGGCCAAGAAAUCACAACGUAUAUAGUAGUGAUAAGACACACUACUGCAGACUUGCAUAUAGUACCCACGCUCGGUAGACUUUGCUCCCGUCAUCCCAGCCUCAGAAAUCACAACACACGUCUAUAUUAACUACCACAUAUACAAACGCCAUUCAGAACACACGUGUGAAGCUAUAUCUCAGACGAGUUGUGUCAAUACACGUCUGUAGUACGCGCUAUUACACAGGCAUGUUGAUCUCGCCAGGCCGGCGACCCAAACCGGUGACUUACUAUAGACGUACGUUACUAUAACGCGUCUUUACUAGUGCUGCUGCAGACAUGCGUAUGUCACAAUGUCUGUAGAGGGGUGUGCAUUAAAAACCUUUUCACAUAAUGAGCUAUGUAAUUUGUUUUUAAUUAGUCUACGUUUAAUACUUUAAAUGUGUGCCGGUAUAUCCGAGGUGACAUCUAAAAAUUUUUGUUCGCGAACUAAGCCUUGUUCAGUUGGCAAAAUAAAAAAGUUCCGGACACUGUAGCAAUUUCAUUUGUUUGUGGCAAAUAUUGUCCAAUUAUGGACUAACUAGGCUCAAAAGAUUCAUCUCGUGAUUUAUGGACAAAUUGUAUAAUUAGUUUUUGUCUUUGACUACAUUUAAUGCUUCAUGUAUGAACAAGGCCUAAACAAGGCCUUGUGCUCUCCACUGAAAAACCUACCCGAAGGCACCCAAUCCUAAACCCAAACCAAGCUAAUCAGACGACAGCCACACAUUGAUCAAACACUCAGAUUGGCUUGCAUUAAGAGAUAUUUUACCUUUGCACAUUCAAAGUUUUAGGUAUUAGUAUAAUAAAAUAAAAUUGUGUAGUUUUAAAAAAGUGUAAAAUUCAUAUGUAUUUCUUGAUAGCAACAGUAGCACUACAUGUACUGAACUCGUGUUGUGUGAACCGAUGGCCACACGCGGAUCAUGCAUGUGUCGUGUCCAAGUAUAGCUGGUGGCUGUACCAUAUCUAUCGGACUUAUGGCGGUGGUCCCGUAUUAUUUGAGUGGUAGACAUAGCUGCCGAGACUCAUCACAUCCCUAUCCGCGCAUGUUUUCUUUAAACAUUCAAAUAGCGUACGCUCCAAUCUGCUCGCUGCAUGACAAUAAUAAUUAAGGACUGUUUCCGAAAUUCUGAAGGAGCAAACAUAUAUUCCGAAAUCUAUACACUCUCAUCAAGCAUAGCCAAUCAUUGCCAUGUAAUAAAUCAUGCCAACUCCAACAGUUCAACCUUGUUUGGUUCAUCCCAAACAAAAGGUAUUAUCGUUUGAUGACUACUCCCUCGUUUAUGAAAUAUAACAUGGAUUCUGAGCUGUGCUAAGACACAUUAUUCUAAGUUUGAUUAAGUUAGUUUAAGAGAAAAAAAUAUUCACCACAUCAAAUUGGCAUCAUAAAAUCACUAUGUAUCACUGCUGGUUCAUUGGCUCCUACCAACAAUAAUAGACAGAUUUUCAAUGUUUUUUCAUGGGUAAACCCGACAGCGAUAUAUCAUUCUCGGUUUUAGCCAGAAAUCAACGACCAUAUAUAAGUAGGUUUUCACUUGUUUUUUAUUAAAUAAUAUAAUUUUUCAUAUUAAGUCAGAUCAAGACAAAUUUAUUCCAAAACCCGUAAAGUUCAUACAUAUAUAAAAAUUUGUAUUUGAUUAUAUUUAUAUACAUGUGUGUCAGAGAGAGAGAGGGGGGGGGGAGAUGGUUGACAAUUUCAAAUAAAGACCAUGUCAAUUUUAAAAUUGUAGUUUUUGUCUCUCAACAACAAUUUAUAGCGAAGAUCUGAUGGCUCUCUAUCUCUCCUCCUUCCUCCCUCUCCUCUCCACUCCCUUCCAUUCUCCUCCCCUCAUGCUCACAACAUCCGGUGUGGCCCAUUGAUGAUCCUCAACACCGCCAUGAUGCAACCGCUGCUGCUGGAGCUGGAUCCACAGUCAAGCUCGAGUCUUCAAGGGCGCCUCCCUGUCUUCUGGAUCCAUGCAUCCACCACCCUAUCCACAUAUGCAUCCGCCCAAUGAUGAUGAUGCACGGGGAUGAACCUGUCUGAAUCUAGUGGUGAAACCCUGGUAGUUUCCUCCUGCUCCAUGUGAUCACACGCUGCACUCCACCCUUUCCUCUGGAUCUGGAAACCCUACUAUGGGCUCGGCAACUCCAACAAAUCUCACAUGCAGCCCUGCAGAUCCCAGCUGUUGGCGUCUCUCGGCACUACAAGUUCGUCUUGAGAGGGUGGCACGUUCAGUAGUGGACUUCGAUGGGCUCGGUGACAAACUUACCCGCCGUGUUUUUUAUUUAUUUAUUUUAAUUUUCAGAGACGUCACUUAUGCCCACCUAUAGACCUCGUGGUUAAUAAUGACGAUGUUGUAGAGGGGCAGGUGUAGACCCCGCGUAUAAUAGUGAGUUUGCAUUGCAUGUCUUAUUAUUGUUUAAUCCAAAUUCUGAACAGGGAUAUCAAUUAAUAUAUUUACACAAAAUAAUAGGCAGUGGGGCAUAUCAUGGAUGGCCACACUAGUAGUAAACCUUUCAGUGAUAAUUGGUGAGUCUACUAUAGGUAACGUUCUGGAACCGUCUACUCUAUAUAAUGAAAUGAUUUACUUUUGUUUCCAAGGCAUGCUCAGCACCUAAGAAAUUACAAACAGAAAUGAUUUGUAUCUAAGGAAUGAUAUUGUAUUGCUAAACAGGACCUAGAGAAAAUUCUAGGCACUAGGCAUAUCAUCGGUGAUGAUUGAUGAGUCUACUACAGUCUACAGGUAACGUUCUGGAACUGUCUACUAUAAUGAUUUUCUUUUUUCCUUUUUGUUUCCAAGGCUUGUUCAGACCCAUGGUGGUGUACCUGUGUAUCAAAUAAUCUACCAUGUGUCAUAUCAGGCUCUGUGGUGGAGAGUAUCUAGUGGAAAGGAGUAGGGAGAGAGGGGUUAGGUUGGGCAUUCUGUUUAAAUCGAUAAUUUGGUUUGGUUCUCUAGUUUAGGAAAAAAUUGGUUUCAGAAAAGCUAGCAACCGAUCGGUUCAUUGAAAAAAAAAAGAGAAACUGACGAUUUUACUUUCGGUUUUGUUGGUUCAGUAUUCGAGUUUCAGCCGGGAGAUUCCAGAGGACUUAUCUCCUACGCCAUCCCCCGCUCGUCGCUCAACUCAUCCGUCAUGCUAGCACCGCCCCGCUUGCUGUUUGAAUGUGCGGCUGACUGGUGGCGCUUUGCUUGCAGCUCGCCCACACAGUUGCCAUGCUGCUUGCACGCACGGCAGCGGUGCCUAGCUCCUCACUCGCCACUCACACCAGCGCCGGUGUCGCCUCAUCCUGUUGCGCUGCUUGCGCACGCGUGUUAGGGCUAGGGUUUGAAAUGAGAUGAGUGCCGGCCCUAAGGGGAGGGCAGGAGGUGCGACGGCCGAGGGCUCUCGCGGGAUGGGGGCCCAAACCUAAGUAUAUAAUACAACAUAUCCUUUAGCUGCUAUAGUAUUUGUUUAUUAGUACAUGUAUAUAUAUGGUGCAAUGGCUUAUCACCAAAAAAUUGUGAGCCAAAAGGAGUCAAGCCACCAAUGCCCGUACACGAGUUGACACACAUAGCGAUCACGAGUCGCAAUUUCUAGACUUUUGGUGAGACGGUGAGACCACGAGGAGAGACGCAGCGGCAUCAGCGACACAUUCACCAGUUCACCACGCGAUCAUGAGCUGCAAUGGAUAAUACCAGAACCUCUGCGCCCGAGUUCUAGCCUUCGAAAAUCCAAACGAUAGCGGCGACCAACUGGCAGAGUUCGACGAGGACUACGACAUGUGAUGUUGGUUAUUUCCUUCUACCCUUUUAUUUUUUGUGAUUUGUGAAUCUUGGUUUUGUUCAUGUCCCAAUUGUCUAGGCACUAGGUUUUCUUUCUUGUUUAAUUUUUGUCUAGUACUUUAUACUCAUAUAGUUAUAUUUUUCUUAUAAUUUAGGUCAGGUGUUAGAAUUUUAGAAUGUUACUAAAAAACAUUUGUCAGGGACCGUAAGAAAAUGAAAAAGACAAGAAGAGCAUUUUGUCUAUAUAUGAUUGGAUUUGUUUUCCCUUUAUGAAAAAAUUAGCUUAUAUUAUUAUAAAAUUUUAUAGUUUAGAGGUCGUCGUGAUGUAUUCGCCAGAGGGCCCUCAAAAUUAUAGAACCGACACUGGUGAAUAUAGGAGGCAAGGAGAAGAAGCGAUGGGCUACAUGCGGCUUGGUGAGUCGUUGGGCUAAGUUGGCAAAGAGCGUGGCAAAUGCACGUGGAUGGUUGGACCACUAGACGGACGAGUGCUCCUCGGGUUGAACAUUCUUUCAGUUCAAUUUAGGGGUGAAAUCAAACACCAAGCUAAAAACCGAAGCUCCUGAAUGUCAAAACCGAAGCCGAACCUAAAUACAGAUAUGUCCGCUCAGAAAUGUGCUGACAGUGAAAGAGAGGAAGGGGGCAUUGGCCAUUAUGAUUGGAUGAGAAAAUUGCGCUGGAGCCAAUGUACCAAAACAAUGCAAUCUUCUGGAGUCAUCCUCGAUCAUAUAACUCCACGUGUUGCUGGGCCCUUCGCUGCUGCUGCUCUUGCUCAUGCUCGCCACUAUAAAGCCAAGAAGACACCACAAGCAAACCGCAAAGCCAACACGAGAGAAACCAGUCACAAGCAAUGAGCUCGCGCGUCACCAAGUCGCUGCCUUUUCUCGUCGUCCCGUCGGAGGCCACGCCCGCCGGCGUCCUCCCCCUCACCGCCAUGGACAGAGCUCUUGCUUCCCUGCCCAUGGCAGCCCUGCUUGUCUUCGAGAACCCCAUCGAUCAGCCAGCCGAGAGCAUCAGGAGAGCUCUGUCCCGAGCGCUUGUUCUCUACUACCCAAUGGCCGGCCGCCUCACCAUCACCGGCGACCAGCUGAAAAUCGCGUGCACCGGCGAGGGCGUGGCGUUCGUUGGGGCGUCCGCGAGCUGCACGCUGCAGGUAGAGAUGAAAACGGAACGGAAAUAUUUCAAACUGAAUCGCUUUCGUUUUCUAUAUAUGAUAUCGUUUUCUAUAUUAUAAAACCGUUUUCGAAUUUUGUCAAACAUAAAAAUUUUGUCAGUUUCAGUUGGUUUCACAACCACUUUUAUUCAUUUUAUAUACUCUUUAAUUGCUAAAAUAUAGAAAUAUUCCACACCGACCGCGUUCGUUUUCUACAUUGUAAUUCCGUUUUCGACCGUUUCCGACCGUUUUCAGCAGGGCAGACUCUUCGGCCCGCAUCCGGUGGUCACCGUCGAGGACCUCACUAUGAACUACACCGCCCAGUACAGUACGGACCCGCCGUUGCUGCUGGUGCAGGUGACCGAGUUCUCCUGUGGUGGCUUCGUCGUCGGGGUGACGUGGAACCACGUCGUCACCGACGGCGCCGGGAUGGCGCAGUUCUUGCAGGCCGUCGGCGAGUAUGCCCGCGGCUUCCGUUCCCCUUCCAUCUUGCCGGUGAGGGUGGACCACGCCCUCCCUGAGCUUCCCCCGCCGAUAACCACCAUGACCAAGGCACUCGUCUGCAGCCAGCACAGCGACUUCCCGUCCUCCUACAUCACUGUUCCCCUUAGCUUCAUCGACCGCGUCAAGGACG